rnacentral:rRNA from 1 species
GCAGAGCAUCCUACGGGAGGCAGCAGUGGGGAAUAUUGCACAAUGGGCGCAAGCCUGAUGCAGCCAUGCCGCGUGUAUGAAGAAGGCCUUCGGGUUGUAAAGACUUUCAGCAGUGAGGAAGGUGGGUAUGUUAAUAGCAUACUCAUUUGACGUUAGCUGCAGAAGAAGCACCGGCUAACUCCGUGCCAGCAGCCGCGGUAAUACGGAGGGUGCGAGCGUUAAUCGGAAUUACUGGGCGUAAAGCGCAUGCAGGUGGUUUGUUAAGUCAGAUGUGAAAAGCCCCGGGGCUCAACCUCGGAAUUGCAUUUGAAACUGGCAAACUAGAGUACUGUAGAGGGGGGUAGAAUUUCAGGUGUAGCGGUGAAAAUGCGUAGAGAUCUGAAGGAAUACCGGUGGCGAAGGCGGCCCCCCUGGACAGAUACUGACACUCAGAUGCGAAAGCGUGGGGAGCAAACAGGAUUAGAUACCCUGGUAG